CUAUAAACAUUCCACGUAUCCCAAGGUGUCUAAGACCACCCUUUUUGAUAAAUGAAGGAUUCACUGGAGUUUGUUAUGGGAUGAACCAACCAUGGAAUGCUCCUAACCUUCUAAUAUGGAUGGGUCCUAGUAACUGUUAUUUUGAAAAAUUCUUUGGAACAACUUUAGUUGACCCAAGUAGGAAAUUUGUAUCAUCCUUUUCUGUCUCCUUCUCUGUUUUCUCCUCUGCUACUUCAUCCUCAAAACUUUGUUGAUCUAGUCCCUGAAAGACCAGAGUAUGUUUUGCAGGGAUAUGUAAUUACUGCAUUGCAUGAGCAUUAAGAAUUCCACUUCAGUGCUAACCCUCUGUGAGUCCAGGAGAGGGACACUGGAGGUUUGGUCCAUAAGUCAGCAAAGAGAGGAUCAAUCAGCACCCAUCCUGAGGCAGCAAAUGAAAACCUGUCAUGGGAGAUAAGCUAUCUGGGGAGGGUCCCUCUGGCCAGGAAGACUAUGAUAGCAUUUCACAUCUGCUGCCAAAUCCUAACAACUGUCAUCUAUGGUGUACUUUGAACACCUUUGACUCCCUAGGAAAACCUGCUGUCUAGCCUUUCCUAGAGUGUGAAUCACCAGCUCUUAGUACUCCAGCCUCUCUCACAUAAGACACUCAUCUUAAACCACAGCAGCAUUGUUCAUUGAAUCCAGAAGCAAAAUCUCACUUGGAGAGUGAGCAAAUGGUGAACAGGUGGAGAAGAAGGAAGUCACCCAUCUCUGCACCCCUGACCGCUAGAGAAGCACUGUGUGAAUUUUUGCCUGGAUUUUUGUCUUAGCUUUCUCUCUUCAGACUGAAGUUUGGAGAAGGGAAGUGACUCAAGAUCCAAGAAGAGUGUUUUGUUCAUCUUGGUGACCUUGCCUGCCACUGGCACUCAUGAGCAUUCUAUAAAUGGGUGCUGAAUUUGAACCUGCCAUUGGCCAAAAUCAUCCUCAAGUUAGUUAUAAAGGAUAUCUGAAGCUCAGAUCUUCAAAGCUCUGGAUCUCUUUCCUUUCCACCUUGAAUGUGGACUUUGACUUCCAUUUUGCUUGUUGCUGGCUUCACACUGGAUGCUCCAAGCCAGCAGGACACACUUUGACACUGGGUAAAGGCAGAAUCACUCCUCAUUCGUCCUGCAACCUUGGGAGGUCUCGCAUUGGCAGUCCCAACCACAUACCCAGGCUCUCCAUCUGGGAACCCAUCUGGCAUUUUGAAAUCCGUGUCUUUGUCAGUCCAAAGUUCUGCUGGAUUCCGUGCAUUUUCCACACUAGGUUGCCCCUCUAGUCCCACCCAGCAGGUUCCCAGAGGAGUUGUGGAGCAAUAAGGCUUUCCCCCAUUGCCCUCAACAUCUGUGAUCUAAUCAUGCCCAGCUGUGAGGAGCUUGCAGAGAUGGAGGCAAGGAAGGAAGUCACAAAGCCCUGCACCCAUGCCCCUUCUCCGGGACUCAAAUGCUUUCACGUCAAAAGCUUGAGCCUGUUUUCUCGUUGUCUUCUGAGAUGUAGUGCUGCUUUGGCACUCGGCACCAUCAAUUUGAAACUGACAUUUCUGUAGUUUCUAAUGAGAAGACGAUUUGACCGGCUGAAGAAAAAAUGACAGAUAAUCACUCUCUCCCUCAGUCAUAGCCACAGUGUCUGAGCUUCCCUCCCAGACUCCAUGGCUGGGUGAAGACAGGUUUGAAAAGAUCUAUGUGGGUCCUUAGAAUCUUCUGUCUAUACCGGGACCUCUUGGCAAAACUGCAGAAACCCUAUCCACUAUCUCAUAUGUGGCUCCCCAGAAUGACAUUCUGAAAAGAAUACUUCAUGCAAUGUUUGUAGGCAUUUUGAAAAAAAGCAAAAAUAAUAAUGCUACAUAAGCUUUCAAAAUGCCAGGUUAAACUAAAUACAUUGCACUUUGCUACCACUGUUUACCUGAAGAGGCCUUUAUUACGGUAAUGUAUUUGUAACUACCCUGAGGAGGACAGAGCAUGUGGCUUGUUUGACCACUAAGUUGUUUUUCCACUGAGGCUGUGGUAGAACUAAUGGUAACUGGAAUGCACUCAACAUGCAAAGAACAACAAAAAUAAAACAAAAAAAAUUAAU